rnacentral:lncRNA from 1 species
GUUCGAGACCAGCCUGGCCAACAUGAUGAAGAAACUAUGACACAGAGAGGCGAAGUAACUUGAUAAGAUCAAAACAAACUCUGAAUAUGCCAAUCCACUACCGUCUAGAAGACUAUGGGGUCUCUGAUGAGAAAUCAGCUAUUAAUCUUAGCAAGGAUCCUUGCAUGUGAUGAGUUACUUCUCUUGAUGCUUUCAACAUUCUCUCUUUACCUUUUGACAGUUUGAUUAUCGUGUGUCUUGGUGUAGUUUAUCCUACUUGGAGUUUCUUGAGCUUCUUAAAUGUGGUUAAUGUUUUUCCUCAAAUUUGAGAAGUUUCUGAGCAUUAUUUAUUUAAAUAUUGUUUUAGUCUGUUCAGGCUGCUAUAACAAAACACCAUAAACUGGGUAGCUUAUAAA